rnacentral:tRNA from 1 species
GCCGACGUGGCUCAACGGUAGAGCAAUCGCCUUGUAAGCGAUAGGUUGUGGGUUCGAUUCCCUCCGUCGGCUCCA